rnacentral:rRNA from 1 species
AGAUGGGAGCUUGCUCCCUGAUGUUAGCGGCGGACGGGUGAGUAACACGUGGGUAACCUGCCUGUAAGACUGGGAUAACUCCGGGAAACCGGGGCUAAUACCGGAUGCUUGUUUGAACCGCAUGGUUCAAACAUAAAAGGUGGCUUCGGCUACCACUUACAGAUGGACCCGCGGCGCAUUAGCUAGUUGGUGAGGUAAUGGCUCACCAAGGCAACGAUGCGUAGCCGACCUGAGAGGGUGAUCGGCCACACUGGGACUGAGACACGGCCCAGACUCCUACGGGAGGCAGCAGUAGGGAAUCUUCCGCAAUGGACGAAAGUCUGACGGAGCAACGCCGCGUGAGUGAUGAAGGUUUUCGGAUCGUAAAGCUCUGUUGUUAGGGAAGAACAAGUGCCGUUCAAAUAGGGCGGCACCUUGACGGUACCUAACCAGAAAGCCACGGCUAACUACGUGCCAGCAGCCGCGGUAAUACGUAGGUGGCAAGCGUUGUCCGGAAUUAUUGGGCGUAAAGGGCUCGCAGGCGGUUUCUUAAGUCUGAUGUGAAAGCCCCCGGCUCAACCGGGGAGGGUCAUUGGAAACUGGGGAACUUGAGUGCAGAAGAGGAGAGUGGAAUUCCACGUGUAG